CUUGGAUUUUAGGCUGGUUCAUCAUGGUUACACAUAGUCCCGUGGGGAAUUAAAAAACUUUUGACGUAUACAAAAGCGACAUAUGAUAGCAUACCGCCUAUAUACAUCACAGAGAAUGGUGUGGAUGAAAAGAGUGAUUGCAAGCUCACUGCUUGUGAUGCUUGUGUUGAU